GAGGAAAGUCCGGGCUUCCAUGAAGAUCAGGCUGCUGGAUAACGCCCAGUGCGAGCGAUCGUGAGGAUAGUGCCACAGAAAAAUACCGCCUACCAGAAAUUCGCUUUGCGAAUUUCUGGUAGGUAAGGGUGCAAAGGUGUGUUAAGAGCGCACCAGCAGAGUCGUGAGGCUCUGGCUCGGUAAACCCCAGUUGGAAGCAAGGCGAGAGGAUAUAGGAGUUUCGAUCUUCAAUUGCUCUUAUAUCUGUUGCUUAAAUACGGUUGUUGGGCGAAAGCUUAUAGCGAUCGCAUAUUAAGUGUGUGCCGCACGAGGUAUUUGGUAACAAAUAUCCCAGAUAGAUAACUGCUAAGGGGGUUGAUAAGACUCCUCAAACAGAACCCGGCUUA
rnacentral:RNase_P_RNA from 1 species